GACGAACGCUGGCGGCGUGCUUAACACAUGCAAGUCGAACGGAAAGGCCCUGCUUUCGUGGGGUGCUCGAGUGGCGAACGGGUGAGUAACACGUGAGUAACCUGCCCUUGACUUUGGGAUAACUUCAGGAAACUGGGGCUAAUACCGGAUAGGAGCUCCUGCUGCAUGGUGGGGGUCGGAAAGCUUAGGCGGUUGGGGAUGGACUCGCGGCUUAUCAGCUUGUUGGUGGGGUAGUGGCUUACCAAGGCUUUGACGGGUAGCCGGCCUGAGAGGGUGACCGGCCACAUUGGGACUGAGAUACGGCCCAGACUCCUACGGGAGGCAGAAGUGGGGAAUAUUGCACAAUGGGCGGAAGCCUGAUGCAGCAACGCCGCGUGCGGGAUGACGGCCUUCGGGUUGUAAACCGCUUUCGCCUGUGACGAAGCGUGAGUGACGGUAAUGGGUAAAGAAGCACCGGCUAACUACGUG
rnacentral:rRNA from 1 species